rnacentral:rRNA from 1 species
UACGUAGGGGGCAAGCGUUGUCCGGAAUCAUUGGGCGUAAAGCGCGUGUAGGCGGCUGGGUAAGUCCGCUCUGAAAGCCCGGGGCUCAACCCCGGGAGGCGGGUGGAUACUGCUCAGCUCGAGUCCGGAAGAGGAGUGUGGAAUUCCUGGUGUAGCGGUGAAAUGCGCAGAUAUCAGGAGGAACACCGGUGGCGAAGGCGGUUCUCUGGGCCUGUACUGACGCUGAGGAGCGAAAGCGUGGGGAGCGAACAGG